rnacentral:rRNA from 1 species
GACGAACGCUGGCGGUGUGCUUAAGACAUGCAAGUCGUGCGGACCGUAGCAAUACGGUCAGCGGCGGACGGGUGAGUAACACGUGGAUAACCUGCCUGGCUCCCCGGGAUAACAGGCCGAAAGGCCUGCUAAUACCGGGUAAGCUCACGGGGCCGCAUGGUCCUGGGAGAAAAGCUCCUGCAAGGGAGUGGGGUCAGAGGGGUCCGCGGCCCAUUAGCUAGUUGGGGGGGUAACGGCCCACCAAGGCGACGAUGGGUAGCCGGCCUGAGAGGGCGAUCGGCCACACUGGGACUGAGACACGGCCCAGACUCCUACGGGAGGCAGCAGUCGGGAAUUUUGGGCAAUGGCCGAAAGGGCUGACCCAGCAACACCGCGUGAGUGAAGAAGGCCUUCGGGUUGUAAAGCUCUGUUGCCCGUGAAGAACGGUGCUUUCAGGAAAUGGGAAGCACUUGACGGUAGCGGGUGAGGAAGCUCCGGCUAACUACGUGCCAGCAGCCGCGGUAAUACGUAGGGAGCGAGCGUUGUCCGGAUUUAUUGGGCGUAAAGGGCGUGUAGGCGGCUUUUUAAGUCUGAAGUGAAACGCCAGGGCUCAACCCUGGAACUGCUUCGGAUACUGGGAAGCUUGAGUACUCUAGAGGGCAGUGGAAUUCCGGGUGUAGCAGUGAAAUGCGUAGAGAUCCGGAGGAACACCAGUGGCGAAGGCGACUGCCUGGGGAGAAACUGACGCUGAGGCGCGAAAGCUGGGGGAGCAAACGGGAUUAGAUACCCCGGUAGUCCCAGCCGUAAACGAUGAGUGCUAGGUGUAGGGGGUAUCGACCCCCCCUGUGCCGGAGUUAACGCAAUAAGCACUCCGCCUGGGGAGUACGGCCGCAAGGUUG